CCUUCUCGGGAAAUGCUCUCAACCCCACGAACC
rnacentral:rRNA from 1 species